rnacentral:lncRNA from 1 species
GCCUAUGUGCUUCCUGUAAAAGCCAGGAUGUGAGGGCAACUGCUACAAGCUGAGAACCACAGAGUAAAAUAUGAAUGUUUCCGGUGUGAAAGGACUAGUUUGUUUUCAACCCACCUUCUCAUGGAACCAACUAGGAAAUCUAGAGACAGGGUCUCACUGUCACCCAGGCUGGAGUAACAUGAUGUGCAGUGUCGCAUGGACAGUGAUGUGCGGUGUGGACAGCGAUGUCCAGGCUGGAGUGACAGUGGAGUGCGGUGGUGUGGUCAUAGCUCACUGCAACCUUGAACUCUUAGGUGCAGCAAUCCUCCUGCCUCAGCCUCCUGAGUAGCUGGGACUGCAGGCCUGCAACACCAGCGCCCAGAUAAUAUUGUUUUUUAGGUCUCACUAUGUUGCCCAGGCUGGUCUUGAACUCCUGGCUUCAACUGAUCUUCCUGCCUCAGCCUCCCAAAGGGUUAGGAUUGCAGGCAUAAGCCACCACGUGGGGACACUGAUACAUUUUUCAAGAUUGCAAAGUUAAGGGAAAAAAUGGUAGCAUUUCUGAAACUUUUAAGCAUUUUUAUGUAAAACUGAAUAAUGUAAAUAUUCAGCUCUAAGUUAUGCAAUUCAAAAAGGCAUACUAGAGAAUAACAACUCAAAAUUACCUCUUUGAUCAGUCAACUUAAUUUUGACAGAAAGUGUCAUCACAAAGACUUCUCUGAACUUGUUCAACUAGUAGUGUUUAAACGUGUGUAUUCAUAACCUGUUCCUGCCUAUAAGAAUGAGCAUGUAUGCAUAAUUAUUGUAUUUUUAAAAGUUCUUGUGAAUAAAAUACUCUUUAUUGAAUAUCUAAACUAUGUAGUAAUAGAAAAUAGCAAAUUAUUUUUAUAAAAUCUAUCUUUAAAAUGGAAAUCAUAUGAAUAUAAAUAUUUUGUUAAUAUAUCCUUAAGUACAUUUCUAUUUACCAGGAGAAAAAUACAGUCUUGACUGCCACAUUAGGUUAUAUAUAAAAUGUCAACAGUUCAUUUUAUACCAUGCAUAAAUAUGGUUACAACUUUCACAAGAAUCUUUAAGUAAAAAGUCAAAGCUCAGGCAAGCAUAUGAAGAAACUGCUACAUAAUGACACAAUGAUUACUAUACGUAAGAAAAAUAUUAUUAGGACAGAUUUUCAAUUGCUAUAGCUUAGUUAAUUUGAGAAGAAAAGAAAAUUUUUGAUAUUUUAUUCAUAUGGUCUAGAAUUUCAUAUUUUCUUGUAUCAGUUAAAUUAUGAAAUUAGCCUUUAAUGAGAGUUUUUAAUAGCCUGUAUGUAUAUGCAGUUUACUUUAAAAAAUGGAAAAGAAAUCACGACUGGAUAAUUGCUAUUCAGGCUUGUAGAGAAUUAAUGAAAUUUUACCAACAUACC